AAGUCGUAACAAGGUAACCGUAGGUGAACCUGCGGUUGGAUCAUUAAUAAAUUCUAGAGCAGAUGUGAUCGAGCAAUCGAGAUCUCUGUUUCUUAACAAUUUGUGAAUCGUUUAUUGUCUCUUGCAACUAAGAUUAAGGCUUUCACGAGUCUCUUGGUUGCAUGUGAAUCUUAACAUUGUAAUAUAACUAUUUGUCUUGAAAUUUAAACCUAAAAAUUUAAAAACAACUUUUGACAACGGAUCUCUAGGCUCUC
rnacentral:misc_RNA from 1 species